rnacentral:lncRNA from 1 species
AUUUUCUUGCAAUUCAGGUUUUUGUGUAGAGGUUUUUUGUUUUCUUACAUAUUUUGUAGACACUGUAUGUAUGAGCCCGUGUGUGUAUGUUUGGAUCAAGUGCGCCUAAGGUGGCAAUAUUUCUCUCUUAAGAAUUAAAUAGCCUGUGUAUAUGAGGAAGCAUUUUUAAGGUCAACCAUGGUUUAUUAUUACUUGUUAUUUUAAUUCAACAGAUGAGCCUAAGGCAAGGAAAUGAACAUGCUGGCCAGUGUAGCACAGCUACCAAAUAAUUUUCCAUGAACAAGAAAGUAUAGUUUUCUCCUGAGCUUAGUUAUUCUAUACUAGCUGUGGCAGGCAGUGGGUGGAGGGCAAGCAGUUCUAGGUCUAACUUGUAACUUCCCCAAUUUUGCAUUUAUUUUACGUAACUACUAUGCUUUGCAGUCGUUUUAAUCUGGAACAUCCAGUAGUGGUAUCCAUGGAAAAUAUUUGCUAGCUGUGAUGCAUUAGCAGGCACACCCACCAUGAGCAGUUGGUUACGUUAACAAACCAUGAUGAGACCAAAUUAGAAAAAAACAAAAUAAUUCUGCAUGCUCAGAUGCACAGACUAAGACUGGGUAACAUAAGCCAUGCAAUUGCCCACUUGCUACCAUAAUAUAUAGUAUAGUGAGUAUUGUCAUCACAUGACAGUAUUCAGUGCAAUAGUUAUGUAAGAUUUACUGAAUUGUAAAGAAUUGGAAUGCAUAUAGGAUAUAUUUGAUCAGUUUUCUUACAUUUAGCAUAUUUAUAUUACCCAUCUUAUUUGUGUUAUCUCUAAUGUUUCAUUAUGGCUCGAGCCUUAUAAAUUAAUGUCACUCACAAAUUCUUAUUAGGGAAAAUAGCCGUAUGCUACCUGCUAAUACUUACCAAAUUAGUAUCUUACUUCAAAAGAUGUUUUGCUAAAAUUUUAAUAAGGAAAUAGCAUGUUAUAUUUUCUAAUUUUUAUUUACAUGUGAACAAGUUCAACAUAAUUUAUAUGAUUUAAAUCUCAAGAUACUCAGAAAUUGGGAUGCUUGAACACGUUACUGUAAGAUACAUUCUCCCUAAAGUUAAGAUUUUAAUUAACAAAUACAGAUGCCCUUCCAAAUGCAGUGGUUACAUAGAAGAUCUGAGGUGCUAAGAUAGAAUUCCAGCUUAAUUGCAAACGUAACAUAAGCCCAUCUUCCUUCUGGUUUCAUAGCCCAUUUCAUCAGAUAAAUGUUCAGGCCUAAUUUAUCACUAAUUACAUUCAAAUUUUCAUUACUUUAGGCUCUUUGUAUUAUGCUGGCUAGAUACAUCACACCUAGUAUGUCUUCACUAGAAGAUGCUCAUUAUUCAGGGAAAAAUGGCGAUUUACUUUAUUUGAAAGUAAACAUAGAUACUAAGGGGGGAAAAGCAAGUAACAGAAACAAAAUAAACAAAACCCAGUCUGAACUUGUCAAUGUGUAGAAGGAUAUUUGUAGCUAUAUUAAAUUAAAAUCAAGUAGGUCAUUGCCAGGCUGGACGGCAGACACCUGUAAUCUCAGCCUUGGAAUGAAUUUGACCCAGAACUGAGUGGACUUGAAUACCAGUCCAAGCUGGGCUAUAGAGACGACAGCCUUUCUCAAACGUU